rnacentral:rRNA from 1 species
GACGAACGCUGGCGGCGUGCCUAAUACAUGCAAGUUGAGCGAUGAAGAUUGGUGCUUGCACCAAUUUGAAGAGCAGCGAACGGGUGAGUAACGCGUGGGGAAUCUGCCUUUGAGCGGGGGACAACAUUUGGAAACGAAUGCUAAUACCGCAUAACAACUUUAAACAUAAGUUUUAAGCUUGAAAGAUGCAAUUGCAUCACUCAAAGAUGAUCCCGCGUUGUAUUAGCUAGUUGGUGAGGUAAAGGCUCACCAAGGCGAUGAUACAUAGCCGACCUGAGAGGGUGAUCGGCCACAUUGGGACUGAGACACGGCCCAAACUCCUACGGGAGGCAGCAGUAGGGAAUCUUCGGCAAUAGACGAAAGUCUGACCGAGCAACGCCGCGUGAGUGAAGAAGGUUUUCGGAUCGUAAAACUCGGUUGGUAGAGAAGAACGUUGGUGAGAGUGGAAAGCUCAUCAAGUGACGGUAACUACCCAGAAAGGGACGGCUAACUACGUG